UCCAAUCCUGCACAUCCAUCCACAGCUAUUAUAGUUGUCAUUAUAUGUGGCGCUGUAGCUGUUUGUGCCCUUUUGGUUAUUUUUCUUUGUCAGAAAAGAAGAAAAGGGACACCUGCUACUCAAAAUAGAUCAGUUACCUCAAAUGUUGAAACAGAACAAGAAAGACAUAUUACCUCAAAUGUUGAUGAAGAGUGGGAAAAGGAUAAGAAGGAUGACAGGAUUACAUAUGCAACACUACAGCCACAUCAAGUUGGUUCUCGGCUCAAGAACGUUGUUCAGGAAAAUUCAACAGAGUACGCCGCUGUCUGUCUCAAGAGUGUGCCAGAUAAUGAUAUCACCUACGUUACUGUGAACACUGCCAAGUGACGUACAAAUGCUAAAAUACCAAUGUAUUAUAUAGAGGGCCACGGUACAGAAUAUGCUGCAAUUACAAGGCAAAACAAAAAGAUUAAGAAGCAAAGACAUUAAUCCAUGUUUGCUGCAGACUGCCCUUAUACUGGCUAUUAACUAACCAUAUAUCAAGUGUAUAAAACAUGGCAAUAAAGUAUGUUUAUCGUGUGUCAGCAUUUUUUAUUAUGACAAAUUACAUUUUUUUCUCUCUUCAAAAUGCCAAUAACCAACUGAAUAAGAAAAGGGUCAGGAAGAAGGACCAUCUUAAUGAAGUGAAGCUAAACAACAGAAUUAGGAAGUCAGGAACAAAAAGCUGGAUUAGCAGGCAGCUAAAGUAGUAAGGGACAGAGCUGAGGAACAGAGACGGGGCUCUUUGUCAUCUAUACUUUUAAAUCUUCCAGUGUUUGUAAUAGACAGAAUGCAGGAGAGCUCUCAGGCUAGACGUCUAUACCUGCAGCAGAAGAUGACCCUGGUCAAUACUGGAUUCCCAGCCAUUUUGGCCUUGUGUAUCUGUGGGGUCAUAUCACCCUCAUAUUGAGUCAAGACUAUGACAAAUCUGAAAACAUUUGAGGGGCAUUAUGCUUUAAAAGAAUGGUGAGGCAUGUAAAGAGUUUGGGGUAGGUGGGACAGGAUGUCUAAAGAUUACAAAGGUUUGAAUGAAAAUUACUGAUGGACUUCACCUGCCUGCUAAUGUUGGCACUUCAGACAGAUAAUAGAUUACAUAUGCAUCACUAAUACAAUGAGUACUAUGCUGCAAUGAAUGAACACAAUUUAUGAAAAAAUGUGGGAAAACCUUUUCUUGAUUGCCCACAGUGGUGUGCUUUGACUGUCAAAUUGCAGACUAUGUGCAGUCUAAUCACUCUGCAAGUAAGAUAUACUUUUUUAUUUCCCUUAUCAGUGGGAAAGGGGGUGUCUGAGUUCAAAGUGUCUUUAAAAUGUUCGACAAAGAUUGACAGUUGGCGAAUAAGAUUAAGGCUGUGAGUUGUUAAUGAACAAGUUUCUGUACAGGGUUUGGUUCCCUCAACCGGCAUUUGCCUAUUCUAUGAUCUUGAGCAGGUCACUUAACCAUACAGCACUUUGGGAAAAUUAGGAAUUUGGCCCAGGCCCAUUAUUUGUCUCCUGGAUGGUAUGCCGAGUGCCUACCUUUGAACCUAAGAACAAGAAAACUGCUGCUGGACUGGAAUCAUGAAUCCAGGAGGCAGGAUGCUGGACAGCAGUAUAUUUCCAAGAAAUGUACAGUUUUAAAUAAUUCUUAUGGCACAAUGCUAUGGGAAUUAGAGGGACAAAAGUAGAAACAAUAUUCCAACAUAUAACUGAAGUUUUAGACCUCAUGUCAAAUCAUUAAUAACCCUGUUCCAGAAAAUUGUGCUUCCUUCACAUCUGAAAACCUAAAAGUAUCAUAAAAAAUGAUUGAAGAACAUUAACCUAGCUUGUAAUAUAAAUAAAAAAUGUUUCAGGGACAGUUGUGUGUCUCAGAGACUACCCCUACUAUGGAAUAGACUUCCCAUUCAUGUGAACCCAGGUUCAACCCUGACCCUACUCAAAUGAAAAUUUGAUCAAUGAAUUGGGAAUCAGAAUUUUUCCUCUGGGCCAGCACCUAUGGCAGCUUGUAAAUGCUAUUGUUACCUUAACAUAAUUAUAUGUAUCCAGUAAUAUAUCCUGCUAUGUAUCAAUGGAAAAAUAUGGCCAGCCCAAACUAUUUAUUAAGAGGAACCUCAGGGAGCUUGAACUGUCAUCUAUCAUUUUGAAGAAGUGCUAGGGAACAUUUCUCACCAUAAAUAAAAUCUAAAAUAAAGACAAAAAAGUUAAGAUCCCAUAUAGCUUUUCUGAUGAAAGAAUAUAUUAUUUUAUGAUUUUGUGGUUCAGCAGAAUGAGGUUUAGAGUUUGUGGGUGUAAAGGCCAAUUUUGUUGUGGAAAAAUACAUUUAAAAGCUGGGAAAAUAUGGUUAGGUUUAAAAAGAACUCUUAGGGUCAUUAGCCUAGGAAUUUCCUAUGUACCUAUGAACCUAUGAUGGUUCUGGUAUGUUUGAUCAAAAGCAAGAUUUUUUUUUUAAAUAUGGAAAGGAGGGAGUGGUUCUUUUCCUCUGUUUCAAGAAGAACAAUUGAUAAUGUAAUUGUAAUAUUAAUAAUGCAAAAGGUGAAGAGCAAUUGAGAAAGAAUGCAAAAUGAAAGGAAAGAGAUGUUGAGAUUUUGAUAAAGCAGGAAUUUGUUGAAAAGUAUGGGAGAAGGGGAUUAGAAUAGUACAGCCCAAGACAUUGCACAGAUAACUUUCCAUGCAGUAUUGAAACGGGGAAGCGGUUGGUUGUAGGAGAUAAGGUGAGUAGGUAGAGAAAGGCAACAGGAAGGUGAGGUUGGACAUAUGACUCCAUAAAGAGAGAGAGUCCUGGGAAGUACCAGAGUAGAUGUUGGUAAAUGGGGUGGUAGGAUAGUGGUUGACUCAGAUAUUGGGGGAACAGAAGGAAGUAUUCUUCUAGGAGAAUAAUUGGGACAAUAACAGAGUAGUGUAUUGUUGCAAUGCCACAAAUCCUGCAUGGCUACAAGUUGAACAGAUUUUUAUAAUGUUAGAAGAGUUGCAAGCACCUAAGUGAAUUGUACAUGCAUGACAUUAGCUUUUUACUGUAAUUUCUCAAUGCAAUGUAUAAAAAUACCAGAAACAAUUUUACAAAUCCAAAUAAGAUGUGCAAUAAAGUUACUCUUUAAAGACAGACCAUAUGUUAAUAAAGUCACUUGGCAUUUUUAA